UUCCCAGACUCCUACGGGAGGCAGCAGUGAGGAAUAUUGGUCAAUGGCCGAGAGGCUGAACCAGCCAAGUCGCGUGAGGGAAGACGGCCCUACGGGUUGUAAACCUCUUUUGUCGGGGAGCAAAGCGAGUCACGUGUGACUCAUUGAGAGUACCCGAAGAAAAAGCAUCGGCUAACUCCGUGCCAGCAGCUGCGGUAAUACGGAGGAUGCGAGCGUUAUCCGGAUUUAUUGGGUUUAAAGGGUGCGCAGGCGGACCGGCAAGCCGGCGGUCAAAUCGCGGGGCUCAACCCCGCCCAGCCGUCGGAACUGCCGGGCUAGAGUGGGCGAGAAGUGCGCGGAAUGCGUGGUGUAGCGGUGAAAUGCAUAGAUAUCACGCAGAACUCCGAUUGCGAAGGCAGCGCACCGGCGCCCUACUGACGCUCAGGCACGAAAGCGUGGGUAUCGAACAGGAUUAGAUACCCCGGUA
rnacentral:rRNA from 1 species